rnacentral:lncRNA from 1 species
UACACUAGCUCUAGUGUUCUUUACAUCACUUUAUGUUGCAAACUCAUGCAAUCACAUUCUUUACAUUUCUCUACUCUUGCUAACUCUAGCAUUCUUGUUCUUAUUGCCCCACUUUACUUUAAUCUUACACAUUGUUAUUUUCAUCACUCUUUACAUCACGUUAGUUCUUUGCAUCACACUAACUCUAGUGUCUCUUUACUUUACAUUUUCAAAUGCCACUCGAUCUAUGUCAUAGUGUCACUCUGUUCUUUUGCUCAUUUUGGGUGCUC